rnacentral:sRNA from 1 species
AUGUACCACUCGUACACCGCGAUUGCUGCGCGUCGUCCACGCCCACCUGACGAGUGCUGGCUACGUUUAGUAACU